rnacentral:rRNA from 1 species
ACAUGCAAGUCGAGCGAAUGGAUUAAGAGCUUGCUCUUAUGAAGUUAGCGGCGGACGGGUGAGUAACACGUGGGUAACCUGCCCAUAAGACUGGGAUAACUCCGGGAAACCGGGGCUAAUACCGGAUAACAUUUUGCACCGCAUGGUGCGAAAUUCAAAGGCGGCUUCGGCUGUCACUUAUGGAUGGACCCACGUCGCAUUAGCUAGUUGGUGAGGUAACGGCUCACCAAGGCAACGAUGCGUAGCCGACCUGAGAGGGUGAUCGGCCACACUGGGACUGAGACACGGCCCAGACUCCUACGGGAGGCAGCAGUAGGGAAUCUUCCGCAAUGGACGAAAGUCUGACGGAGCAACGCCGCGUGAGUGAUGAAGGCUUUCGGGUCGUAAAACUCUGUUGUUAGGGAAGAACAAGUGCUAGUUGAAUAAGCUGGCACCUUGACGGUACCUAACCAGAAAGCCACGGCUAACUACGUGCC